AGAGUUUGAUCAUGGCUCAGAUUGAACGCUGGCGGCAGGCCUAACACAUGCAAGUCGAGCGGAUGAAGGGAGCUUGCUCCUGGAUUCAGCGGCGGACGGGUGAGUAAUGCCUAGGAAUCUGCCUGGUAGUGGGGGAUAACGUCCGGAAACGGGCGCUAAUACCGCAUACGUCCUGAGGGAGAAAGUGGGGGAUCUUCGGACCUCACGCUAUCAGAUGAGCCUAGGUCGGAUUAGCUAGUUGGUGGGGUAAAGGCCUACCAAGGCGACGAUCCGUAACUGGUCUGAGAGGAUGAUCAGUCACACUGGAACUGAGACACGGUCCAGACUCCUACGGGAGGCAGCAGUGGGGAAUAUUGGACAAUGGGCGAAAGCCUGAUCCAGCCAUGCCGCGUGUGUGAAGGAGGUCUUCGGAUUGUAAAGCACUUUAAGUUGGGAGGAAGGGCAGUAAGUUAAUACCUUGCUGUUUUGACGUUACCAACAGAAUAAGCACUGGCUAACUUCGUGCCAGCAGCCGCGGUAAUACGAAGGGUGCAAGCGUUAAUCGGAAUUACUGGGCGUAAAGCGCGCGUAGGUGGUUCAGCAAGUUGGAUGUGAAAUCCCCGGGCUCAACCUGGGAACUGCAUCCAAAACUACUGAGCUAGAGUACGGUAGAGGGUGGUGGAAUUUCCUGUGUAGCGGUGAAAUGCGUAGAUAUAGGAAGGAACACCAGUGGCGAAGGCGACCACCUGGACUGAUACUGACACUGAGGUGCGAAAGCGAGGGGAGCAAACAGGAUUAGAUACCCUGGUAGUCCACGCCGUAAACGAUGUCGACUAGCCGUUGGGAUCCUUGAGAUCUUAGUGGCGCAGCUAACGCGAUAAGUCGACCGCCUGGGGAGUACGGCCGCAAGGUUAAAACUCAAAUGAAUUGACGGGGGCCCGCACAAGCGGUGGAGCAUGUGGUUUAAUUCGAAGCAACGCGAAGAACCUUACCUGGCCUUGACAUGCUGAGAACUUUCCAGAGAUGGAUUGGUGCCUUCGGGAACUCAGACACAGGUGCUGCAUGGCUGUCGUCAGCUCGUGUCGUGAGAUGUUGGGUUAAGUCCCGUAACGAGCGCAACCCUUGUCCUUAGUUACCAGCACCUCGGGUGGGCACUCUAAGGAGACUGCCGGUGACAAACCGGAGGAAGGUGAGGAUGACGUCAAGUCAUCAUGGCCCUUACGGCCAGGGCUACACACGUGCUACAAUGGUCGGUACAAAGGGUUGCCAAGCCGCGAGGUGGAGCUAAUCCCAUAAAACCGAUCGUAGUCCGGAUCGCAGUCUGCAACUCGACUGCGUGAAGUCGGAAUCGCUAGUAAUCGUGAAUCAGAAUGUCACGGUGAAUACGUUCCCGGGCCUUGUACACACCGCCCGUCACACCAUGGGAGUGGGUUGCUCCAGAAGUAGCUAGUCUAACCGCAAGGGGGACGGUUACCACGGAGUGAUUCAUGACUGGGGUGAAGUCGGAACAAGGUAGCCGUAGGGGAACCUGCGGCUG
rnacentral:rRNA from 1 species